GUGUCAGCCGCCGCGGUAAUACGUAGGAUGCGAGCGUUGUCCGGAAUUAUUGGGCGUAAAGCGAACGUAGGCGGCCUGGUAAGUUUGGUCUUAAAGACCGGGGCUCAACCCCGGGAAUGGACCGAAUACUGUCAGGCUGGAGUACGCUAGAGGAUGGUGGAAUUCCAAGUGUAGCGGUGAAAUGCGUAGAUAUUUGGAGGAACACCGGUGGCGAAAGCGACCAUCUGGGGCGUUACUGACGCUGAGGUUCGAAAGCUCGGGGAGCAAACAGGAUUAGAUACCCUGGUAGUCCGAGCCGUAAACGAUGGAUACUGGGUGUGGGGGGUAUCGACCCCCUCCGUGCCGUAGCUAACGCGUUAAGUAUCCCGCCUGGGGAGUACGGUCGCAAGACUGAA
rnacentral:rRNA from 1 species